rnacentral:rRNA from 1 species
UACGUAGGGGGCAAGCGUUGUCCGGAUUCAUUGGGCGUAAAGAGCGUGUAGGCGGCCAGGUAGGUCGGUUGUGAAAACUGGAGGCUCAACCUUCAGACGUCGACCGAAACCAUCUGGCUAGAGUCCGGGAGAGGAGAGUGGAAUUCCCGGUGUAGUGGUGGAAUGCGUAGAUAUCGGGAGGAACACCAGUGGCGAAGGCGGUUGCCUGGAGCUUUGCUGACGCUGAGGCGCGAAAGCGUGGGGAGCGAUCCGG